rnacentral:rRNA from 1 species
GAGUAGAGGCGGUGUGGGAGAGUAGGCCAGGCCAGGUGGGUGGCCCAGAGGAGGACGCCACGGGGUUUUUUACCGCGGUUAGGGAGGGGUUAGAGGGCGGCGUGGGGGGUCGAUAAAGGGGAGGCGCGGGGUCGGGAUCGGCGCGGCCCCGUUUGGGAUUGGGGUACAGGAGGAGGAGGAGCGACGGGCGGUUCGGCGGGGGCGGCGGCGCGGGGUUCUGCGCCCCGUCGAUGUUGACGCCGGCUACGCCGGUCGGGUUCUUCCCGGUGCAGACGUUGGAGGGGAGGGGCCGGCGGCGGCUGCCGCCGCGGCGCGGGGGGAGGGGCAGCGGGAGGAGGAGGCCGCCCCUGUGGGCGGAGGCGGCGCGGGAGAGGAAGCUGCUCGGGAGGAGGGGGCUCUUCUUCGGGUCCGGGCUGGUACUGCCGGCGUGGUACCUCGACCCGCCGGCCCGGCACGGCCACCUGGAGCAGCAGCUCCACGACGCGGCCGAGCCGGGGUCCCCGCAGGAGCUGCGGCGGCGGCAGUCGGCGCGGACCGCGCUGACGCGGCUGGCCCAGACCGCGCAGCGGCUCCUCGAGGCGGAGGCGGGCCGGCGGCGGCCGGAGGAGCCGCGCGACGAGGGGGCGACGCGGCGCGAGAGCGCGGAGCAGGAGGUGUACCUUUCACGACAACUACGGUGGUACGACAGUACAGAACGUAAAAGGACAAGUUCAAACCUUUGAGACCUCUAGUGGUACCGGCUGUUCCGUUAGUUGUUAUACUGACCUCUCCUCGAUUCAGCUGAACAAAGUCUCUUCGUAAGAGAGAGUUAAGAGUUUUAGCCACCGACGAGAUUAGAACCAAAAGAAUUAGAUUCGAGAAGUUCGGAAUUACAAGAAACCGAUAGUCUAGAAACGAGGGAAAGCCUUAGCCAGUAUUCGACGGGAUUAUACUCGCUCGAGAGGGACACAAAGUGUGUUGUUUCAAGCCUUACAUGACUGGACCAAUCAAACUACCUACCGGACCCGGCUAGCACGGGAUUGAAUUCUUUAAACGUGUAUAGUAGUUAAGUUGAUAGAUUACUUCGACACAGGCGAGAUCUCCGACGGUUGGAGUCCCCGAACACGUACGAUAGGAACUAAGAGCCAAGUUUUUACUGUCUACGUCGACAACGUAGAUAGCAGUCUAGAACACGUUCGAACCUUAACGAACUAAAUUCACCUAGAUCGUAGUCACUAUCACCACAACCAUACUAGACGUUCCGCAAGGGAGUAUGAAAUAGCUCCGACGAGGAACGAGAGACGGGUUUAUAAUGAUGUACACCCUAGGUCCGACGUUGUCGUGUUAACGGUGAAGAAGUCGAGUACCUGACACCUUACUCGAAUGCAAGAUUGAACGUCUUACUUUUUGUCCCCCGAAUAAAACCACUCUAGUUACCUUCCUAAUCUAACACGGGUUUUAAUGGGUGGAAUUUUUUCGUUGGAUACGCGGUUUUCGACUAGUAUUUCGUACUAUUAAACUUCUUCGAGUCAGAUACCCCGACAAGUCGUUAUCUACGAAACAUACACUUUACGGGUCUCAACUAACUAGACUUGGAGUUGUGAACAUGUUUAGAUGUGGGUCUCGCCGACGAUGAAGUCACGGGUUUAGACUUCUUACAUGUACGUAAACCUACGGUUCUAUACAACUAACCACGUUAUUUUUUGGUCGACUUGGUGUAGAAGGUACGUUCGCCGAUCGUCUGCCAAGCUUUGCCCAAGUCGAGAGUGUUAAAGGUGUUCUCGUCAAUGGCCUCCUGUUUUAUACCUAACCUAAGUUCGCCAGCCUCACGUAACAAGUAGAACUAAGAACUAAUUAUUAUUGUUAGUGUAUUGGUAUCGAUCUCUUGGCGAGUAACACGCGUGAGACUAAACACUUUAAUCUGUUAACCGCUCAUAAAUAAAUAAACAAAACACGUGGAGGUUUGGGUAUUAUACAUUACACGGACAACAUAUUCGACGAUGUACCUUAACUUUG